CUAACUUGUCCCUUAUUCAGCAAGAAUUACAAAGAAGAGAAUUUUUUACAUGGUUUUUCCAGGGUCCUUCUGUCUGCUUUUCUCCUUCCAUGACCUCUUGCCUUUGUAUCUUCGUAUCUCUGCUAUUUUCUGAUGUUUCCCAGGGUCUUAGAAGAGUGCUGAGUAGGUGCUGAAGUAUGCAGAGAGGAUAAGGCUGCCUGAUGAAGGUACUUCCCCAACA
rnacentral:lncRNA from 1 species